rnacentral:rRNA from 1 species
CGUGUAGGCGGUUGGGAUAGUCAGAUGUGAAAGCCUUCUGCUCAACAGAAGAAGUACAUCUGAAACUCCCCAACUUGAGUACGAGAGAGGAAAGUGGAAUUCCCAGUGUAGAGGUGAAAUUCGUAGAUAUUGGGAGGAACACCUGUGGCGAAGGCGACUUUCUGGAUCGAUACUGACGCUGAGACGCGAAAGCGUGGGGAGCAAACAGGAUUAGAUACCCUGGUAGUCC